AUAAAUAAAUCGCAGGGCCUUAUUGGCAUCUUACCUAUAGUUUUAAAAUAGAUGAGGGAUAUUAUUAGCCAACCUUUAACUUUACUAUUUCAGAAAUCGUUAUCUGCGGGUGUGGUACCUUCUUAUUGGAAGUAUGCUAAUAUAACGCCCAUAUUCAAAAAACGGGAUAGAUGUAAUCCAGCAAACUAUAGGCCAAUUACUUUAACUUGCAUAACUGUAAAAGUAAUGGAAGCUAUAAUCCAAGUGAAAAUGGUAUACUACCUGGAUACUGUGAGAAUCACGGGUUAUAGGACGGGUAAGGCGAAUGGGCAGGCGGGCAGGAAGAAUCAGGCAAGGAUGAGGCAGGCAGGCAGACGAAGGGGAAAACUGGGGAUUUAUUUGGGAAAUGGAGAACUGGAAACAUCUGACAUCGACUAACAUCAGUGACGGACAAAAACCAGGGCAAGACGUGGACUGAAAUAGACAAGACUGGGCGAAAAUAAUCAGACACAGCUGGGCAAGAUCGGGGAAGCACACGUGGAUAAUCAGGGGGCGUGGCACACACGAGGAUCGGACAAGCCGGGCAUGACAGAUACAAAUAACAUUCUGAGGGGUAGCCAACAUGGAUUUAGGAGAGGUAGAUCCUGUUCAACUAAUCUACUUGAGUUCUUUGAGGAAGCUACAAGAGAAAUUGAUCACAUAGAGUACUUAGAUUUCCAGAAGGCCUUGGAUGUUGUUGCCCUCAAACGGUUCUCGCUUAAGCUCAAAGCUGCAGGGAAUUUAGGAACUGUAGCAGCUUGGAUUGAAAACUGGUUAACAGGCACAAUGUUAUUAGAGGCACAAUGUCACAGUGGGCCUGCGUUUAUAGUGGGGUACCGCAGGGUUCAAUUUUAGGACCACUAUUGUUCCUAAUUUACAUUAAUGAAAUUGACACCAAUGCAUACAGUAAACUGGUUACAUUUGCAGAUGAUACUAAGGUGGGUGGUGUAGCAGAUACUGACCUAGCAGCACAGAGCUACAACAGGAUCUUGAUUUAAUUAGCGACUGGGCUGAUACCUGGCAAAUGAAAUUUAAUGUAGAUAAAUGUAAGGUAAUCCAUGCAGGGAGCAGAAAUAUGAAGUACAGAUAUUUUAUUGGUUCCACUGAAAUAAAGGUAACUGAUUAUGAGAAAGACCUCGGUGUGUAUGUUGAUGCUUCCAUGUCCCACUCUCGCCAGUGUGGGGAAGCAAUUAAAAAGGCCAAUAGGAUGUUGGGUUACAUCUCUAGGCGUGUGGAGUUUAAGUUAAAUGAGGUGAUGCUAAGAUUAUACAAUUCCUUGGUAAGACCCCAGAUAGAAUAUUGUUUUAAAUGUGAGAGGGAGAUGUAGGGCUUUUGAAGGAACAAUCAGGUUCGCUUUAGUCCGUUCAGAAAUAUUCAUUAAAAUAUACACAGGCCCAAAAAGCACACAGAUGAUUAUCUGUGACACCCAUGGUACACUGUUAUUAGUAUGAAUUCCAUUUAUUUCACUAUUCUGUCAUAUUGCUGUCGCGCAAGGGUUUCUAUGAAGAUGGCAAACAGUGAAGGAGAGAGUGGGCAUGCAGGCCGUCUUCCCCGUCGGAGUGUGAAUGCAGGUGAUGUGAUCCCAUCUGUGACACUGUAGCUUUGGCUGAGAUGUACAUCAUUUUAACCCAGUGGGUAAACGACUCUCCGAAGCCAAAUCUAUGCAGUGUAUUAAAGAGGAAUGUCCAACUGACUGUCAGAUGGCUUUUCUGCAUCUAAUGAUGUAAUCAUGGUUGUAGUGUGGGUAUGCUGAGCAGUAUUGACUAAAUUUAAUAAUCUAUGGAUGUUGUUCAAGGCAUGUCUUGUCUUGAUGAAGUUUGUCUGAUCAGGAUGGAUUAUAAUGACGAAUGUCAAGAGCAUUUGUAAUGAUUUUCAAGUCUGUAUUCAUUAGUGAGAGUGGUGGGUAACUGGAGGGUUGUGUUUGGUCUUUAUCAGGUCUCAAUAACACUGUAAUGGUCAGUAUCUGGAGGGUUGUGUUUGGUCUUUGUCAGGUCUCAAUAACACUGUAAUGGCCGGUAACUGGAGGGUUGUGUUUGGUCUUUAUCAGGUCUCAGUGACACUGUAAUGGCCGGUAACUGGAGGGUUGUGUUUGGUCUUUAUCAGGUCUCAGUGACACUGUAAUGGCCGGUAACUGGAGGGUUGUGUUUGGUCUUUAUCAGGUCUCAGUGACACUGUAAUGGCCGGUAACUGGAGGGUUGUGUUUGGUCUUUAUCAGGUCUCAGUGACACUGUAAUGGCCGGUAACUGGAGGGUUGUGUUUGGUCUUUAUCAGGUCUCAGUGACACUGUAAUGGCCGGUAACUGGAGGGUUGUGUUUGGUCUUUAUCAGGUCUCAGUGACACUGUAAUGGCCGGUAACUGGAGGGUUGUGUUUGGUCUUUAUCAGGUCUCAGUGACACUGUAAUGGCCGGUAACUGGAGGGUUGUGUUCGGUCUUUAUCAGGUCUCAGUAACACUGUAAUGGCCGGUAACUGGAGGGUUGUGUUUGGUCUUUAUCAGGUCUCAAUAACACUGUAAUGGCCGGUAACUGGAGGGUUGUGUUUGGUCUUUAUCAGGUCUCAAUAACAAUGUAAUGUUGAAAAGAUGUUAACUUUGCGUGAUUAUUGAAAUAUUUAUUAGAGGAGUCACUUUUGCUUAAUAGUAAUGCUUGUAAUGGUGGGUUGAUCUUAUUUAUUGGGGAUUUUUUGUCUGUCUCUCUGCAGGCUGUCAGGCUGUAGAGUCACAGAAGUAGGCUGUUCUUCCCUGCUUCAGCUCUGAGGUCAAACCCCUCACACCUGAGAGAGCUGGACAUGAGCUACAAUCACCCAGGAGACUCAGGAGUGAAGCUGCUCUCUGCUGUACUGGAGGAUCCUAGCUAUAAACUGGAGAAGCUGAAUGUGGAUCACGGUGGAGAGUGCAGGACCAGACCAGGCUUACAGAAAUACUCCUGCCAGCUGACGCUGGACCCCAACACAGCAAACAGAGACCUGUCUCUGUCAGGGGGGAACAGGAAGGUGAUAAAUGAGUGGUGGGCAAAGCAGACAUAUCCUGAUCAUCCAGAGAGAUUUGACGGCUGGUGCCCCCAAGUUCUGUGCAGAGAGAGUCUGACUGGCCGCUGUUACUGGGAGCUGAGUGGGAUGGAGUUGCAGCCUGGAUAGGAGUGACUUAUAAAGGGAUCUGGAGGAAAGGAGGGAGUGACUGUGAGCUUGGAUACAAUGACAAGUCAUGGUGUCUGUGCUGUUAUACUCACAGUUACUCUGUCCGGCACAAUAAUAAAUGGACUGACAUACCCAUACAGCCCUCAGGCCCCCGCAGAGUAGGAGUGUAUCUGGACUGGGGGGCUGGUGCUCUGUCCUUCUACAGAGUCUCCUCUGAUGGACUGACCCCCCUGCACAGAUUCACCUCCUCAUUUCACUGAGUCCCUCUAUCCAGGGUUUUAUGUUGAUAUAAACUCCUCAGUGUCACUGUGACGUGUUGCUGGUUCUCCUGGCAAAAGGGUAAAAUCUCUGCUUUUUAACCUUUUAAUCCUUUUUACUCUGAAAUGUAUGUUUGACAAAUAUAAAUGCCUGUGUUCAGUGAGCUGGAUAACCAUGAAAAAUAUAGUUUUAUAGUUUUUCUCUCUGACUAAAAUAUAAUUAAAUGUAAUCCUGAUGGGGGGGGGGGCUUUCCCCCUCCCCUGUAUAUGUACAUUUUAUAUAUUUAUGUCCAUUUACUGUAUUUCCUCCCUGUACAAUGACAAUAAAGGCUUUCUGUUCUGUCCUAUUAA